rnacentral:tRNA from 1 species
GUUAAUUUAGUAUAUAAAUAAUACAUUAAGUUUAAGAUUUAAAAAUAAUAAAUAUUUAUUAUUCGACA